GGGAUAGGGGUAGGACGAUCAAUUGCGCUAACUUCUGUUUAUAAUGUGGUAUUAAUUACUAGGGGAGGCUAGGGAUAGCAAGCUAGUAGUUAAUAUUAGGCCCUUUUCGCCGAGGGAUCGGGUUAAGGGGAGGCUAAGAAAGUCGCAUAACAAUUGAAUCAAUCUAAUAUUCAAGGGUAGUAUGGAAGAGACAGCGGAAUAGAUGAAAUUGUUAGUACCCAACAACAUCCAUUCCUCCAUUGUUUUCGUUUGUCAAUUGAAUCAACUUUAUCUUUGCAUGUUAAUAUAUUUUGUCUCAAAACCAAUUUGUUAAUUUUUAUUUUUCAAGUCUUAUUAUUUUGAUUCACGCGAAUGAGAAAUCCAUACGAGUCUCUUGGGAAAAACAAUACUUGG
rnacentral:lncRNA from 1 species